GUGUCAGCCGCCGCGGUAAUACGUAGGCAGCAAGCGUUGUUCGGAGUUACUGGGCGUAAAGGGUGUGUAGGCGGUCCUGUAAGUUUGGUGUGAAAUCUCCCGGCUCAACUGGGAGGGUGCGCCGAAAACUGCAGGGCUAGAGUGCGGGAUGGGAGAGUGGAAUUCCUGGUGUAGCGGUGAAAUGCGUAGAUAUCAGGAGGAACACCGGUGGUGUAGACGGCUCUCUGGACCGUUACUGACGCUGAAACACGAAAGCGUGGGUAGCAAACAGGAUUAGAAACCCCUGUAGUCC
rnacentral:rRNA from 1 species